rnacentral:rRNA from 1 species
AUGCUGUCCCUUCUCCGCGCCGCCGUCUCCGGCCGCCUUCGCCGCACCCUCUCCACCGCCGCCGCGCGCCCUCCCUGGGCGAUGAUGUACCGGAUCUCCCAGGGGUCCAGCUCCACGGGAAGCGUGUCGUCCUCGCUCGCCCCGCCGCCGUCCGUCUCCUCCGUCUCCAUGCCCAGACACGCCCCCGACAUCGACCCCUUUCCGCCCCAACCCAAGUGCAUCAGCCUGUUUAAGGGCCUCGUCCACGCCGCCAGCGGCCACGGCUUCCUCCUCCUGGACACCUGCAGAGCCCGCCUCCAGACUCAUGACCUCAAGCUCCUCUACCAGAGGUUCGCGCGCUUCGUCUGCAACCCGGUCACCGGCCAGCUGCUCCGCCUCCCGGACUUCGACGGCGCCGAGAAGACCUUUACCAACGGCAUGGGGCUCCUCACCCAGGCUUACGGCGCCAGCGGGCCGCCCAAGAGGUAUGCCGCUGCUCAGCUCACCGAGGUCGACGGCGGGCGGCGCUUCCUGCUGCGCCGGUUCUCCUCGGAGUCGGGGGACUGGGAGGAGCUGGUCCUUCCUUCCCCGAUGCCGCCUCACCGGCGAAUGUACAUGAUUCACGAGGUGCUGGACUUCGGAGGCCGGCUCUGGUGGGUGGACGUGAGCUGGGGCGCCAUUCAAUUUACAUAUACUAUGUGA